GGGAAGCGACUUUGGAGAAGAGGGAACGACGGCGACCGAGUGCGCACACGAAGUGGCACAGAUUUGCGCCGACAGCUUUCGCGUUGACGAAGACGAGAGUUUAGACAUAGGACAGACAUAUUGGUCCAGCGCGGAGCCGAAGACGUGGCGAAGUGGGACGUUCGAUUAAGGUCUCCGUAAGGGUUGUGUUCUCCUCUCCAUCCUCCUAACUUGGCCAGAGCAUCAGCACCUUGGCUUUAGACUGCUUACUGCUUUUACAUUAUCACAGUACAGUAACAGUCUACAGUCAUGGCUACUGAAGCCUGGCAAUGCACCAAAGCCUCCACAGGAGACAACGUUGACAUGCUGAGGUUAUGUCAUGCUGAUGUCAAACACACCACUGCUCGACUGUUAGCUACUCUUAAAAUGGCUGAGCUGCUGAAUCUCACUAUCUGCUCUAGAGAUUUCUGUGUCUGUGUAAGUUUCUCCUUCUCUGUCUCUCAGAAAGGAAACCUGUGUGGGCUUGCAUUGGGGGGAGUCCUACACCAUGUAAGUGCGUAAUAUCCACGUUCACACCAAUGAGACCUUCCAGUUUCCAGUUACCAUGCCAACUCCUGCUCCUUCUCCACCCUACUGUCUCCAUGGCGACCGUGGCUUUAGAUUGUUACUCUAGCAACAGCAUCAUGGUAACAGUCUACAGCCAUGGUCGUUAGGGACAGGCGUCAUGGGGGAAUAAAAAAGUUUUGUGGAACUACAGUUUAUUUUGCAUUUGACUAAUUUUCUAAUUUAGAAAGUAUUUCAGAAAUUGUUUCCUGAGCAGCAGAGUUAGUUUGACUCCACUUUUUUCAGUCUCUUGAUGGGAUACAAAUGUAAUUGUUUUAAUUAAAUGUUGUAACAUCAUCACCCAAUAAAGCUUAUAAGUCAAGAACACAAAGACA